rnacentral:rRNA from 1 species
GCAACUCGACUACAUGAAGCUGGAAUCGCUAGUAAUCGCAGAUCAGAAUGCUGCGGUGAAUACGUUCCCGGGUCUUGUACACACCGCCCGUCACACCAUGGGAGUCGGAAAUGCCCGAAGCCGGUGACCAAACCAAUAUGGAAGGAGCCGUCGAAGGCAGGUCUGAUAACUGGGGUGAAGUCGUAACAAGGUAAC